rnacentral:lncRNA from 1 species
CAGGUGGAAAAGGAGGGAGCUACUCUAAGGCUGAGUGGAGCGACAGUGCCCAGGGGUCUGAGUCUCACAGCUUGUAAAGCCUGAGACAGCUGCCUUGUGUGCGACUGAGAUGCACAGCUGCCUUGUGUGCGACUGAGAUGCAGGAUUUCCUCACGCCUCCCCUAUGUGUCUUAGGGGACUCUGGCUUCUCUUUUUGCAAGGGCCUCUGAAUCUGUCUGUGUCCCUGUUAGCACAAUGUGAGGAGGUAGAGAAACAGUCCACCUCUGUGUCUACCAUGACCCCCUUCCUCACACUGACCUGUGUUCCUUCCCUGUUCUCUUUUCUAUUAAAAAUAAGAACCUGGGCAGAGUGCGGCAGCUCAUGCCUGUAAUCCCAGCACUUAGGGAGGCCGAGGAGGGCAGAUCACGAGGUCAGGAGAUCGAAACCAUCCUGGCUAACACGGUGAAACCCCGUCUCUACUAAAAAAUACAAAAAAUUAGCUGGGCGCAGAGGCACGGGCCUGUAGUCCCAGCUACUCAGGAGGCGGAGGCAGGAGAAUGGCGUCAACCCGGGAGGCGGAGGUUGCAGUGAGCCAGGAUUGUGCGACUGCACUCCAGCCUGGGUGACAGGGUGAAACGC